rnacentral:rRNA from 1 species
CACGCAGGCGGUGCUGCGCGUUUCGCGUGACAGCGGGUGGCUUAACUGCCCGAGGGUGCGAAAGACGGCAGCACUGGAGGGCCAGAGAGGGACACGGAAUUCCGGGUGGAGUGGUGAAAUGCGUAGAGAUCCGGAGGAACACCAAAGGCGAAGGCAGUGUCCUGGCUGGUGACUGACGCUGAGGUGCGAAAGCCAGGGGAGCGAACGGGAUUAGAUACCCCGGUAGUCCUGGCCGUAAACGAUGACCACCAGGUGUGGGAGGGCUCGACCCCUUCCGUGCCGGAGGAAACCCAUUAAGUGGUCCGCCUGGGGAGUACGGUCGCAAGAUUAAA